UACGUAGGGUGCGAGCGUUAAUCGGAAUUACUGGGCGUAAAGCGUGCGCAGGCGGUUUUGUAAGCCAGGUGUGAAAUCCCCGGGCUUAACCUGGGAAUGGCAUUUGGGACUGCAAGGCUCGAGUGCGGCAGAGGAGACUGGAAUUCCUGGUGUAGCAGUGAAAUGCGUAGAUAUCAGGAGGAACACCGAUGGCGAAGGCAGGUCUCUGGGCUGACACUGACGCUCAUGCACGAAAGCGUGGGGAGCAAACAGG
rnacentral:rRNA from 1 species